CCAAUUUCCUAUGCUCAGUAGAAGAAAUAAGGACAAAGAAAAAAGAAAGCCCAGGUGAAAUCAAGGCUACUUUUCCUCCAGUGGAAUAAGGCUGGGAUCAUUCCUGAGGAAAAGGAAGCCUGGGCUCUAGAGAAAGAAGCAACCUAUUUUCAGCAGAUGAGGACACAAUACUGGGGCUGGAGAGAGAUGUUAAGACUCCAAUCACAGCGACACGAGUGGGCGCACCAGUCGCGGGCCGGAAGCGGGACUCCACAGAUCGCUUUAAGAAAACGGCAGACAAGCCAGACGUGGGGGAAAUCGCCAGCUUCCAUAGGCCAAGCUGAAGAAAACGGAGACGCAGGAGAAGAACAGCCUGCCGACCAAAGAGACCAUUGAGCAGGAGAAGCGGAGUGAAAUUUCCUCAGAACCUAAGGGAUUCCCCUCCCCCAUCAUCUUCGAGACACCCUAGUCGUGAUGUGGAGGAAGAAGCGCCACCUGCUAGAUGGACACGAGCGACAAGCCGCACUGUGAACUUGGGCACUCUGUGCCGACACCACUGGCCUGCCAAGUCUCUGAGGGGACCCCCCCCAAUCGGACUGCCAAAUUCUCCAGUUUGCCCUGGGAUAUUAUAGCAAAUUAUUUGUAUGAUUAAUGACAAUAAAACACACCUCGUGGCAAAAAAAAGCAAUAUAUGUAAAUAAAAACAAUAUCCCAUGGUAAAAAACAAAACAAGUUCCCCUUAUUAACA